UACGGAGGGGGCUAGCGUUAUUCGGAAUUAUUGGGCGUAAAGGGCGCGUAGGCGGCCCGGUAAGUCAAAGGUGAAAUCCCUCGGCUCAACUGAGGAACUGCCUUUGAAACUGUCGGGCUUGAGGCCGGGAGGGGGUAGCGGAAUUCCCAGUGUAGCGGUGAAAUUCGUAGAUAUUCGCAAGAACACCAGUGGCGAAGGCGGCUCACUGGCCCGAUACUGACGCUGAGGCACGAAAGCGUGGGGAGCAAACAGG
rnacentral:rRNA from 1 species